GACAGAGGGGGCAAGCGUUGCUCGGAAUUACUGGGCGUAAAGGGCGCGUAGGCGGCCUUCUAAGUCAGACGUGAAAUCCCCCGGCUUAACCUGGGAACUGCGUCUGAUACUGGAGGGCUUGAGUGCGGGAGAGGGAUGUGGAAUUCCAGGUGUAGCGGUGAAAUGCGUAGAUAUCUGGAGGAACACCGGUGGCGAAGGCGGCAUCCUGGACCGACACUGACGCUGAGGCGCGAAAGCUAGGGUAGCAAACGGG
rnacentral:rRNA from 1 species